GACGAACGCUGGCGGCGUGCUUAACACAUGCAAGUCGAACGGAAAGGCCCUGCUUUUGUGGGGUACACGAGUGGCGAACGGGUGAGUAACACGUGAGUAACCUGCCCUUGACUUUGGGAUAACUUCAGGAAACUGGGGCUAAUACCGGAUAGGAGCUCCUGCUGCAUGGUGGGGGUUGGAAAGUUUCGGCGGUUGGGGAUGGACUCGCGGCUUAUCAGCUUGUUGGUGGGGUAGUGGCUUACCAAGGCUUUGACGGGUAGCCGGCCUGAGAGGGUGACCGGCCACAUUGGGACUGAGAUACGGCCCAGACUCCUACGGGAGGCAGCAGUGGGGAAUAUUGCACAAUGGGCGGAAGCCUGAUGCAGCAACGCCGCGUGCGGGAUGACGGCCUUCGGGCUGUAAACCGCUUUCGCCUGUGACGAAGCGUGAGUGACGGUAAUGGGUAAAGAAGCACCGGCUAACUACGUG
rnacentral:rRNA from 1 species